UACAACCUGGGGUGUGCGACAAUCCUAUUAUUUUGAACCUACAUUUACUUUUAUGGGAUUCUUAUAUCGCUGCCAAUGAUGCCAGGCCUCCGUUGCAGUGGAAGGCAGAGCGGGCAGCUGCGGUUACCCACCUAGCUUUGCUAGGAGUCAAAAGAUAGGAAACGGCACUUUGGGGAUAU
rnacentral:other from 1 species